AAUACAUCGGAAUCUGCCUUAUCGUGGGGGAUAACGUAGGGAAACUUACGCUAAUACCGCAUACGACCUACGGGUGAAAGCGGAGGACCUUCGGGCUUCGCGCGAUAAGAUGAGCCGAUGUCGGAUUAGCUAGUUGGCGGGGUAAAGGCCCACCAAGGCGACGAUCCGUAGCUGGUCUGAGAGGAUGAUCAGCCACACUGGAACUGAGACACGGUCCAGACUCCUACGGGAGGCAGCAGUGGGGAAUAUUGGACAAUGGGCGCAAGCCUGAUCCAGCCAUGCCGCGUGGGUGAAGAAGGCCUUCGGGUUGUAAAGCCCUUUUGUCCGGAAAGAAAAGCAUCGGGUUAAUACCUCGGUGUUCUGACGGUACCGGAAGAAUAAGCACCGGCUAACUUCGUGCCAGCAGCCGCGGUAAUACGAAGGGUGCAAGCGUUACUCGGAAUUACUGGGCGUAAAGCGUGCGUAGGUGGUUCGUUAAGUCUGAUGUGAAAGCCCUGGGCUCAACCUGGGAAUUGCAUUGGAUACUGGCGGGCUAGAGUGCGGUAGAGGAUGGCGGAAUUCCCGGUGUAGCAGUGAAAUGCGUAGAGAUCGGGAGG
rnacentral:rRNA from 1 species